UUAUUUAAUUUAUUAAAUAUAAUACAAAAAAGUGAUAUUACACUUAACCACUAUAGUCAGGAUUUCUUCCGUAUUGAGGGACAAUAAGAAGAUCAAGAUUGUCAUAUAAGAUUUCAUCAUUAAUAGUAGUCAACCAACACCAAUGACCUUCCGACCAUUUGUUCCCACCUGAAAAAUUCAUAUUAAAGAAAUUACUCAUAAAUGCAAAGAUUAAAAUAAUAAUCAUAAAUGGUAUUCAACUGAUAUUAGCCUAAAACCUGUGCAAGAUGUUUCCAUAGUCUUCAGAUCAGAAAAGAUAUUUGCUUUUGCCGAAAAGUAAUCAAAACUCAAUAGUAAGCUGCUCUUGCGAGUUCUUG
rnacentral:lncRNA from 1 species